rnacentral:tRNA from 1 species
AGUAAAAUGACUGAUAUAGGUGAUAAAUUGUAAAUUUAUUUAUGGAUAAAAUCCUUUUACU